AACAAGGUUUCCGUAGGUGAACCUGCGGAAGGAUCAUUACUGAAUUGUCAAACGGGUUGUUGCUGGCCCUCAUAGGGGGCAUGUGCACGCUCUGUUUACACAUCCACUCACACCUGUGCACCCUCUGUAGUUCUAUGGUCUGGGGGACCCUGUCUUCCUUCUGUGGUUCUACGUCUUUACACACACACUGUAAUAAAGUUUUAUGGAAUGUACAUCGCGUCUAACGCAAUACAAUACAACUUUCAGGAACGGAUCUCUUGGCUCUCGCAUCGAUGAAGAACGCAGCGAAAUGCGAUAAGUAAUGUGAAUUGCAGAAUUCAGUGAAUCAUCGAAUCUUUGAACGCACCUUGCGCCCCUUGGCUAUUCCGAGGGGCAUGCCUGUUUGAGUAUCAUGAACACCUCAACUCUCAUGGUUUGCCAUGAUGAGUUGGACUCUGGGGGUUUUGCUGGCCUGUGGUCGGCUCCUCUCAAAUUAAUCAGCCUCCCAGUGUUUGGUGGCAUCACGGGUGUGAUAAAUAUCUACGCUCGCUGUUGUCUGCCAGGUAACCUUUGGUCACAAAGGUUUGCUGGAGCUCACAGAUGUCUCUCCUCAGCGAGGACAGCUUUUUUAACGUUCGAUCUCAAAUCAGGUAGGACUACCCGCUGAACUUAA
rnacentral:rRNA from 1 species